CCUACGGGUGGCAGCAGUGAGGAAUAUUGGUCAAUGGACGCAAGUCUGAACCAGCCAUGCCGCGUGCAGGAAGACGGCCCUAUGAGUUGUAAACUGCUUUUGUACGAGGGUAAACGCAGAUACGCGUAUCUGUUUGAAAGUACCUUAUGGAUAAGGAUCGGCUAACUCCGUGCCAGCAGCCGCGGUAAUACGGAGGAUUCAAGCGUUAUCCGGAUUUAUUGGGUUUAAAGGGUGCGUAGGCGGGCGUGUAAGUUAGAGGUGAAAUCCCGAGGCUCAACUUCGGAAUUGCAUCUGAUACUGGUAGGCUUGAGAGGAGUUGCGGUAGGCGGAAUGUAUGGUGUAGCGGUGAAAUGCUUAGAGAUCAUACAGAACACCGAUUGCGAAGGCAGCUUACCAAGCUACUUCUGACGUUGAGGCACGAAAGCGUGGGGAGCAAACAGGAUUAGAUACCCUUGUAGUC
rnacentral:rRNA from 1 species